CCUACGGGCGGCAGCAGUGAGGAAUAUUGGUCAAUGGACGCAAGUCUGAACCAGCCAUGCCGCGUGCAGGAAGACGGCUCUAUGAGUUGUAAACUGCUUUUGUACGAGGGUAAACGCAGAUACGCGUAUCUGUCUGAAAGUAUCGUACGAAUAAGGAUCGGCCAACUCCGUGCCAGCAGCCGCGGUAAUACGGAGGAUUCAAGCGUUAUCCGGAUUUAUUGGGUUUAAAGGGGGCGUAGGCGGUCGGAUAAGUUAGAGGUGAAAUCCCGAGGCUCAACUUCGGAAUUGCCUGUGAUACUGUUCGGCUAGAGAGUGGUUGCGGUAGGCGGAAUGUAUGGUGUAGCGGUGAAAUGCUUAGAGAUCAGACAGAACACCGAUUGCGAAGGCAGCUUACCAAGCUACUUCUGACGUUGAGGCACGAAAGCGUGGGUAGCAAACAGGAUUAGAUACCCCGGUAGUC
rnacentral:rRNA from 1 species